UGAGCACAAGAAUGCCAGUCAGUCCCUGAGCUCUGCUCUGUGCAGUCUCCUGGGAUAGGUUCUGGGGACACAAGGAAGAAUCAGACCCGUCACUCCUCUCGAGGAGCUCAAUGCCAAGUGACAGAGAAAGGCUGGAUGGGCAAUUAUAAUAAAGUGUGAUGAGGAUGCCUAAUGGUUCUGCCUGCCCUGGGCACCUGUGCCACACUGGCUCCAACUGCUGUGAGCUCUGAGAUGGCAAGAAUGGCCAGAAAUAGAAGAUGGAGAAAAGUGUAGGGAGUUGAUGUCUUGAGGGAUAUACUCAAGACACUAGUUUGUUGUUAGAAAGACUAAGAAGGCCAGAGAAGGAAUGGAAGACAUAACCAAGGGGAGCUCAGGUUCCACUGCCACCAGGGAACAGCUUCUGAGGUUCUAGAGAAUCUGGGCCCUUCACUCCAACCCAGAACCUGCCGCUCAUCGGUGGGUGAGCCAUCUUCAACAGGAAGCCGGCACUUCUGCUGGGCACCAGGUGACCCCAUCUAACUCCCCUUCCCUUCCACCCACAAUGGCUCUCUCCUCCAUUCCCUCUGCAUAGUCUUCUCCUUCCUGAAAAAAGAGGCAAAGCAGAAAAGGAAGAGGAAUAGAAAACAAACCUGGAACAAAGCUAAAGAGGAGCAAAGAAACCAGAUAGAGGAGAGGGGUGGUAACAUUGCAAGGGACCCUUGGCUCUAAACCAGUGACACAGCUUGGUUUUUCCAAGGGUGCAGCUGGAGCUGGAGUCCUCUGCUUCAGGGUCAAGUCAGGUGAGGGUCUUCCCAAGAGCCUGAUGAAAGGUCCUGGGGAGGGCUAAGGUCACUGCCCUGAGCUCUAGCCCCAGCCCUACAGACCUCCCUUUCAAUGCAGGUGGCGCUCUGAGCCCAGAGUGCCAGCCAGCUUGGAGCGGGGCCAGACUAACAAAGGCUACUUGGGAGUCCUUCCCUCAUCAGGUGCCCGUCCUGCACCAGAAUUCUUGUGAGGCUUCUGGUCCCGCCUGACUCUGAGGAAGCGCAUGGGAGGAUUCAGAGACACAAUAGUUUACUAGCUUGUCUUCUGCUUGAGACGAUUCUGCACUUCAAAUUGCUCCAAUUCAAACUCCUUGUGAUUUUUCUGGGCUGCUGGGAGGAGAGCGUAUUGAUUCUGUUUUUUUUUAUAAGGUCAGCAGUGAUCAGCUCUGACAGCAAGUGGAUAGCCUGUCCCCUUCCCCCUCCACUGGAUGUGGUUCCACAUGCAGAAAAGGAAAGAGAGGGAUAAAGACAGGGAGGAGGAGGCAGCAUCCUUUGUCUUGGUGCUUCUGAAAACCUCUUGAAGCCCCAUCAGCACAAGCAGGCUCCUCUCAGGUUGCAGGCUCGUAGGAGCAGUACGAGCACACUUGAUCUCUUCCGUGUGCCCUUUCACUUGCCUCUCCCUCUGUGCGUUGCUGCCUGCAGCCUACUCUCCUAGAUGGUGACUCACUUUCCUCCAAAGAACCAAUCAAGUUCCAUGUAACAUCGACAGACUCCUGAUGACACUGAUUAACGUUCUGAACCUGUAGGAUUGUUUAGACUGAAAUGACUAGGAGGGCACAGAGAAGGCCCCUCUGAGGUUUCACACAGCUGAUUUUAGCUUGAUGAGAAAAGGGCUUGGAUUGGUCUCACUUUGCUGAGGCCUUGGGAGGGGAGGCUGCCCAGAGCUCCCUCCCCAAGAAAAGUUCUCAGCUCCCCAGGAGUGGCAGGCAUGUUGCCACUCCAACCUUGCCAGCCAAGGGCUGACUCUCCUUGGAGGCCUCCCAUAGAAUGCAAAACACUGUGUCUAUGUGUGUCUGGAUAUUUGUCUAAAAAGAAGAUCCAGAACUUUCAUCAAAUUCUCCAAAAGACCCAUGAUUCAGGAAAGGAGUAUGAAUACUGUACCCAUGUCACAAGAAGCAAUGGUCCCCUGCACCGAUGUUGCUUGGAUACCAGCUGCAGACCUCUGUUCAGAUCCAAGUGCCAUGGGAUUUGAACCAAACUCAAAUAUAUUCAGAGCCACUCACCAGGAUGGUAAAGGGUCUGAAAUCACAACAUCAAACACAACAGCAAUCACAGCUACUCUGAGAGGGAGCUACUCUGCCAGGCACAAUGCUGGGUGCCUCAGGCACAGGAUCUCAUUCAACACGACAAUCCUAUGACGUGCCUACAGCUCCAUAUUACAAACGGGGAUGUUGGGAUUCAGAGACAGAACACGUUCAUGGUCACAAGAUCAGUACAUGGAGAUGGUUGGGUUUGAGCUGAUGUCUGUGUAACUCCAAAGCCUGUCCUUCAGGAACCAUGCCCUAAAAGGAACCAAGUCGGAACUGGGGAGCAGCUUGAAGAAGAGAACCUGCAGGAACACAAGAACAGACGACGGAGUAAACUAUUGCUGCAAAGGGAAGAACUGCGAAUAAGAAGGGAAGACACUAGAAGGCAGAUUUGGGUUAUAUAGAGCUCUGUUGUUGUUGUUGUUGUUGUUGUUGCUGCUGUUGAUUUCCCCACUAAAGCCUCUACUAAGAGAAGCUUUAGGCCAUUUCUUGAACAGAGAAAACCAUGGUUGCAGACUCCAGAAGGGACCAGAAGUAGACUCAUGAUUCAGAAAGUUCGACCUGACUGGGAAAAACUCAGCGUUAACAGAGUUUUAGUUAAGGUACAGUUGCUGCUGCGACAAACAAACUCAAACAUGUGUGCUGGUUCCGACCUGAUGGAGACUUAUUUCCUACUUGUGUAAAGUGCUAAAUGGAUGUUCCUAAUCGGUAAGCAGGUCUCCUUGGAGUGGAGAUUUAGGGACCCAGGCUGUUUCCAUCUUGUGCUUCCACUACCUUCAACACAUGGCUUCCCAGGUCACCGUGCUCGUCUCCAUCAAGCCAGCAGAAAGGGAAAGAUCACGGAGACUGGAUUUAGGAUGGGUUAUGCCAGGCCUGGAAAUGGUGCCCGUCACUUCAGCUCACCAUCCAUUUACAGGAACUCGGUCACAUGGUUACACCUAACUGCAAGGUAGGCUGGGAAAUGUAGUCCAGAUGUGUGCUCAGGAAGAAGAGGAAACCGUUUGGCUGAACCUUUGUCAGCCUCUGCUAGAAGCAAAAAGAAGCCAAGCGCUCAGCAGAGGUAUAGGUUGCGAUAUUAUUUCUGGUCCUCUCAUAUUUUGCAAUUUUCUCCCUGAGGCCUUCAAUAAAGAAACCGGUGUUCCUUUGUUAAAACAAUAAUCCUCCUGAGAACAACAUACCCAACAGGAAGCCCAUAUGACCUAGGGCCCCA
rnacentral:lncRNA from 1 species